UUCUAGGUGUGUAAUGUUAUAUAUUCAAGGUGUGUAUUCUAGGUGUGUAAUGUCGUGUAUUCUAGGUGUGUAAUGUCAUGUAUUCUAGGUGUGUAAUGUCAUGUAUUCUAGGUGUGUUAUGUCAUGUAUUCUAGGUGUAUUAUGUCAUGUAUUCAAGGUGUGUUAUGUCAUGUAUUCAAGGUGUGUUAUGUCAUGUAUUCUAGGUGUGUAUUCUAGGUGUGUAACGUCAUGUAUUCUAGGUGUGUUAUGUCAUGUAUUCUAGGUGUAUUAUGUCAUGUAUUCAAGGUGUGUUAUGUCAUGUAUUCAAGGUGUGUAAUGUCAUGUAUUCUAGGUGUGUAAUGUUAUAUAUUCAA